CCUCUGAAGUGUUUAAGGAUUAAUAUUUAUUUAUUUAGUUUUUUACUAUGUCGAGAUUUUUUUCAGCUCUCCAAAAUCUGUGGACGUCCAAGCAACACAUAAGCAAGAAAAAUCUGUAAAUAAAGUGACAUUUGUAAAGUGUGUGAGCUGUUUCUGAGGGCCGGUUCUGCUGAGAAACUUUUCUGUGGAACGUCUGAAACACGUAUUCGUGUGAAUCUGAGGAAGGAGAUGGAGGAUUUGUGGUUGUCGGACUGACUGGAUUUAGCUCCGUUAGCCUGAAGCUGUGAGAUGUCAGAUUAUUGCAGUGAAUCUAAAGGCUGAACUUCAGUCCUGCGCGUCGUACUAGAGACGAGCCGUUUCAGGAGAGCUGGAGAAGCUGGAUGGCUCGCGGUCCCGGACUGAAGAGCGUCUGGACCCAUGUGGGCUGUACAGCGUGCGCUCUCGCCACAGUGGGGGCACGGACGGGCGAGGGGGGCGCGCUUUGGCGUACGGCGAUCUGAAAGACUCUGACGUGUUUAUACUGGAGUAUCUUUCCACCCUGGACUGAAUCAUGAGCCCUCGUUCUCGAACAGAAGACCUCAGGAGCGUCGUUUUGCUCUUCAUGAUCAUAAUUAGGAUCUUUUAUUAGACGAGCGGUCCCAGCAGGAUCCCGCAGAGACCGUAGCAGCAGUUCACUCCCUCGUUUACUUUGGGUUCUGCAGAUCUCGUCCACGGUUAUCUGCUCAUUCCGAAGCGCUCGCUGCUCUUUUGUUUUACUGAAACGGGAUUUUUGCACUAAAUAAAGCUGAAAUUAUUCUUUCACCACCAAAAGUCACGUCCAAGCCAUAUAAAUAAAUAUUUUAUAAAUACAUAUAUAUAUU